AACUGGAUGGCGCAACUUGAUGAUUGAGCGGCUCAUGAAACACCUGGGGCGUAUCCUGCUCGUAAGCCAUUAACUCGGCGAGGGAAUUAACCCAUAUUUGCUACAUGUGGCCACACAGGCAGCUUUUCGGCUAAGUUUGCAUGGUGUCUAAAAACUUUGUUGGCAUGAUAUGCAGUACUACAUUCCGGUUGUAUUCAUGACCUCUUCUGGGUUACCACUCCCGAGGAAAGCAGGUGAUGACAUCUACAGCAACAAUCCCGGACACUUCCAGGACGUCUUAAUAUGAAGGCAAACACUCCUCUUCACGGCUGUGCACUGCCCAGCUCU